AGCACUCAAUCUCUCCCUUUCUCUCGUGUACGCUCUGUUCCACCCUCUUCUGCUUCUACCAUAGGCUCUGCUCGUCACCUCUGCUGCUUUUCCGGUUUCGACGGUGUUCUGCAGCCCCUGAGCUAUGCGCUUUCCUCUCCUUUCUGUCAGUUUUCUGUUCAACUAGGGUUACCAGACAUGAACCCUAUCACCUUUCUUCCGUGAAAUCCGGCCACCAUCGUCCCACCACUUCGCGUAACUGCCCAUCGUUCUGCACCUAUUAUCCCUAAUCUAUUUACCGAGUAUGCAUCUGUCACUUCAUCAACAGCUGUUCCACUUCAUCUUGUACUUCCUUCCGCUGGAUUGGCUGUAAUCGUUGUUGUGAUCCUAUACCCUAUCUCCUCACCUAAUUCCUUUACAGCUUCUCUGAUUUGAUCUGGAGAAUUCUAAAUUCGUUGCUAUAAAUUGAACCGUGUUGAUGUUCAUAUUGUGUUUUUAGCCCAGUACCCCUGCUUCCAUUUUCUCUCAUUUCGACAUGGGUGGCCAUGUGAAUCCCUUCAAGAGUCUCUGCCCAGGAAAAAAAUUACUUGCAAAUGGACUGAUCCACGCUACAUUAAUUCUUCAAUUGACUUAUUCUUAGCGUUAGUACUGUAUUGAGUAUGUUUGUUGUUAAUUUUAGGGUCAAAAAAUCGAGGCAAGUGCUCGGAAGGCCAUGAUCUCCAAACUCAGGUUGGUGCUUUGUGAAGGCAAGGUGUACAAUAUUGCAUUGAUACUAAUUUCUGUACAAGGAGCAACAUGCGAAUGGGAGACUGUCAGCCUCUGCAAUGGGAAAGACACAUGGGUGUUGAGGAUGUGGGAGAUGUGCCCAAUAUCUGAGCCAGGCAAGCCAUUUGCAGUGCAUCUGGUGCUAAUUGAUGCUGAGUAGCUGAAGUAGGUUGGUUUCACCUAGCAGAAAAGGAUUAAAGUGGCCUAAAUACUGCAUUUUACUGAAGUUGGCGUAUGGUAGCUCUGUGUAUUAUGAUGGCAACAUAAUGAAAGCACCAGAAAUUUCCAUUGAUGAACACAUGGCCCUGAUGAAGCGCAUGGCUGAACUAGCAUACGGAGUACCUUAAAUUCAGGUCAUUAAAGAAUUCAUAGUUGAUAUGUGUUUCUGUGAAAAAAAAAAUAUGGAUGUAGGCGUUUAUGGUUCUUUUGACUGAAAAUAUUUUUACGUUAAUUUUAUUAGACUAAUUCCAGUUUUAGUGUAACACAUAAAUUUAUUUUUUGGUAAAAUUGAUGCCUAUAUAUAUAAUUGUUUGACAAAUGCUUUUUGCUUUAUCUAUAUCUGUCCAAUUACAAGUUAUAUUUACAACUCUUUUCUUUGUUCAAUUUAAGAGUAAACUUGACUAAAAUCUCAAUUUGUUUAUGCUUCAUAUAAAUCACAUCUGAGGCAGUAUGUAUCAUCAUGAUUCAUGUGAAGUUGAGAAGUGAGAACAAAAUUGCUUGAUAGAUAGUAAUAGUAUAUAUUAGCUCUGUACAUAACUUGAAGGGGCCUAAAACUUGAACUCUUGAAGCCACAGAAGACCAUCGUGUUUAUCUUUGAGCUGAUUUAUGCAUAUGUGUGAGUAUUACAUAGUACAAGGGUGUCUCUCAGAUAAGUUUAUUAGAAAACUUCAGUUCAUAGAAUUUAUAUGUUCACUGUGUUUUUUCUUUUUUCUGGGAAUGAGAAUUUUAUUUUUACGGUAUAAGGGUUUGAUAAGUGCUUUGAAUGUGCCAUUACCAGUAAUAUACAAAAAAAUGCACAAAUUCUGUAAUGUCAUUUCCUUUUGUUCAUUUGAAAUGGUAGCCAAUAGCUUAAUUCAUGCAGUUAUGGGAAAGAUUCAUGUUUUAUUUGUGGAGGGAAUUUAAUCAAGAAGCCUUAUUGGUAUGUCAUUUAUGCAGUAAUUUGAAGUUGUUGUUUCAUCACAAAACCUUUGGGUAGGAAGUGAUGUGUUUAAUUUUCUGCAUUGACAUUUCUUCACUUGGAGUGGAUGAGUAGACAGUUCUUAGUAUUUGGUGAGUCGUUGGAGUCAAGUUCAAAAACUACCAAGAGCUAAUAAUGCAUUUAAAGGAUUAAUGGUUAGUUGACUUAGUUUUGAUUUUGUAAAGGAAUAAUGACUUAAAGGAUGUGUACCAAAGGUUUAUUUCUAAUUGUUUAGAUAUUGUGACACCAAUGAAUUUAGCUUCUAUUAAGCAGAUAGAAAUCAGAUGAGCAUGUUAAAUUGAUAGGAAUAUUGUAGACAAUUAAAACAAGAUGACUAACAUUGUAACAUGGUUAUACCUUACUUCAUAAAUGGAAUGAGGUAGAGCAAGAGAUUCAUCAUAAAACUUACAAAACACCCACUGUAUAUAUGUUGGUAGUUAACAGUACGCUUUUUAGAUUGUUGAUUUUUCACACUAUAGGAACAGUUGGAGCCAAAUGCAGUGUUAGGGACAAUUCUUGAUUCUAAUGGAGGAGUUCACUCAGAAGUGGUACAAAAGCUGAUGAUAAGUGGACUGAGCGUUGAAUCGACGGCGUGAGAUACCAGUAGGACUAGAUGACAAUGUCAGGAAAUGGAAACAUCUCGCAGUGGAGAAUGAGGAGAAAGCUAGCAAUACUGCUAAGUAUCAACUUAAAUGUUGGCUUUCAUUUUGCUAAUUUUUUCAGGCUUGCUUGGUCAUUCAAACUUGCAAAUUAGAACUGAUUGGCUUUAAACUGAAGAGCUCAUGGGACUCGAAUUUAUAUUGUCUUUUGUACAAUUCGCAAUUUUUGUGCAUUAUGGUGUCUAUUGACUGUUUACUAACUUCAAUAGAGUUUGUUACGAUUA